rnacentral:rRNA from 1 species
GACGAACGCUGGCGGCGUGCUUAACACAUGCAAGUCGAGCGGUAAGGCCCUUUCGGGGGUACACGAGCGGCGAACGGGUGAGUAACACGUGGGUGACCUGCCCUCAGCUCUGGGAUAAGCCUGGGAAACCGGGUCUAAUACUGGAUAUGACUCCAUGACGCAUGUUGUGGGGUGGAAAGCCUUGUGCGGCUGAGGAUGGGCCCGCGGCCUAUCAGCUUGUUGGUGGGGUGANGGCCUACCAAGGCGACGACGGGUAGCCGGCCUGGGAGGGCGACCGGCCACACUGGGACUGAGACACGGCCCAGACUCCUACGGGAGGCAGCAGUGGGGAAUCUUGCGCAAUGGGCGAAAGCCUGGCGGAGUGACGCCGCGUGUGGGAUGAAGGCCUCGGUC